rnacentral:rRNA from 1 species
UACGUAGGGUGCAAGCGUUAAUCGGAUUUACUGGGCGUAAAGCGUGUGCAGGCGGCUCCGCAAGUCAGGUGUGAAAUCCCCGGGCUUAACCUGGGAAUUGCGCUUGAAACUAUGGAGCUAGAGUGCGGCAGAGGGGGGUGGAAUUCCACGUGUAGCAGUGAAAUGCGUAGAGAUGUGGAGGAACACCGAUGGCGAAGGCAGCCCCCUGGGCCGUUACUGACGCUCAUACACGAAAGCGUGGGGAGCAAACAGG